AUCGCUUCUUGGCCUUUUGGCUAAGAUCAAGUGUAGUAUCUGUUCUUAUCAAAGUCCCACAGCCAGUUAGUUCCACUCCUC
rnacentral:snRNA from 1 species